AGUGAACGCUGGCGGUAGGCCUAACACAUGCAAGUCGAGCGGCAGCACAGUAAGAGCUUGCUCUUACGGGUGGCGAGUGGCGGACGGGUGAGGAAUACAUCGGAAUCUACUUUUUCGUGGGGGAUAACGUAGGGAAACUUACGCUAAUACCGCAUACGACCUACGGGUGAAAGCAGGGGAUCUUCGGACCUUGCGCGAUUGAAUGAGCCGAUGUCGGAUUAGCUAGUUGGCGGGGUAAAGGCCCACCAAGGCGACGAUCCGUAGCUGGUCUGAGAGGAUGAUCAGCCACACUGGAACUGAGACACGGUCCAGACUCCUACGGGAGGCAGCAGUGGGAAAUAUUGGACAAUGGGCGCAAGCCUGAUCCAGCCAUACCGCGUGGGUGAAGAAGGCCUUCGGGUUGUAAAGCCCUUUUGUUGGGAAAGAAAAGCAGCAGGUUAAUACCCCGCUGUUCUGACGGUACCCAAAGAAUAAGCACCGGCUAACUUCGUG
rnacentral:rRNA from 1 species